UCAAUUUCUCUCUUCAUCUUUGCCAAAACCUACAGUUUCAAACUCUUAAUCUAAUUCUCACUAGCAUUUUCCCUUAAAAACCAACAAACACAACGUUUUGGCUUUAGGAAGUUACAAAUCUCACAGCUAUCUCCACCAUAAAGCCCACUUCCUAUUAAAUUAAUUCCCACCACUAUCUCCACCAUAAUUCCAACCACUAUAUCUAUAUCUAUAUCUACAUCAAUUUCUCUCUUCAUCUUUGCCAAAACCUACAGUUUCAAACUCUUAAUCUAAUUCUCACUAGCAUUUUCCCUUAAAAACCAACAAACACAACGUUUCGGCUUUAGGAAGUUACAAAUCUCACCUCUAUCUCCACCAUAAAGCCCACUUCCUAUUAAAUUAAUUCCCACCACUAUCUCCACCAUAAUUCCCACCACUAUAUCUAUAUAUCUAUAUCUAUAUCUACAUCAGUUUCUCUCUUCAUCUUUGCCAAAACCUACAAUUUCAAACUCUUAAUCUAAUUCUCACUAGCAUUUUCCCUUAAAAACCAACAAACACAACGUUUCAGCUUUUGGAAGUUACAAAUCUCACCUCUAUCUCCACCAUAAAUCCUACUUCUUAUUAAUUUAAUUCUCACCUCUAUCUCCACCAUAAAACCCAUUUAUUAAUUCUCACCACUAUCUCCACCAUAAUUCUCAACACUAUAUCUAUAUCUUUAUUUAUAUCAAUUUCUCUCUUCAUCUUUGCCAAAACCUACAGUUUCAAACUCUUAAUCUAAUUCUCACCAGCAUUUUCCCUUAAAAACCAACAAACACAAUGUUCCGGCCUUAGGAAGUUACAAAUUUGUACCUUUCAUAUUCCUUCUCCCUCAACUUCUUUCUUUAUCUCUCUCUAUGUUCUUCUCUAUGUCCCUCUAUCUAAAAUGCCAAAGCAACCUUCUCUCAUUAUACAACCCUUCCUUUUUCUUACCUCUCGCCUUUCUUUGAAUCUAACAACGAUGAAGAAGCAUGAUGGUUGAAUCUGAACUGUUUAAAUUGGAGCUAUUGACAAUGAUGUUGUUGAAGGCGAGAAUGGCCUUGAUGAUCGCCUCCUAGGCUAUUUGUUUCUCCAACCUAGAAGACCGAGUCAUCUUGCACAAUGAUUUAAAGGCUUCCCAAUAGAUCUUGAAUUGGCAAGCAAGCAGAAGCUACCUUUAAUAGUUUCAAGAAAUUCAUUUUAAUUCAAGGUCAUCACAGCUGUUGGCCAAUAUCCUGUACUCAUGGGCCUAUCUGUUGGGAACAUAAUUGCUUGAUGAGAUGAAAUGAGCAGUAUUACCAACAAAAUAAAGAAAAAAAGAGAAAGGGAGAACUAAGGCUGUGGGCCAUAAUAGGACUAUAUAAUGGUUGUUGGAGCAUCAAAGCCAACUGCAAUGGCUGAUGCUGAUAAGUUUUCCAGUAUGAAAAGGUUUAAAGAAAAGAGAUGGGACUCUAGAAGGAGGAUGCUUGGGUGAAGAUUGUUAGGUGAAUGAUCUCCAAAAUCAUAUAAGUGUAGAAUAUAUUUAUGCAAUGAGGUUUAUUUAUAUGUAAUAAUUUAUAAUAAAAAAUAACUUUAAUUUAUAUGUAAUAUGAAGUCGUAUAGAUUUGUUGGUGCAAAAAUGAAAGUAGAUUUUGCAUAAAAUUCUCUCAUUGCCUUGAUUUUUUUUAUUAAAAAAAUUACCAUCUUUAUUUUUAUGUUGUAUUCUCUUUUUUCUUUUAGUUUAUUUUUGCUGGGCUAAUUAGGCUCUUAUUGAUAUUUGAUUUCCUUUAAGCUCAUAUUCCAUGUUAAUUAGAA